rnacentral:tRNA from 1 species
CCGUAGCUCAGCCCGGUAGAGCAGUUGACUUUUAAUCAAUUGGUCGCAGGUUCAAAUCCUGCCGGGC